UACGUAGGGGGCGAGCGUUGUCCGGAUUUAUUGGGCGUAAAGAGCUCGUAGGCGGUCUGUCGCGUCGAAUGUGAAAACCCGGGGCUCAACUCCGGGCUUGCAUUCGAUACGGGCAGGCUAGAGUUCGGUAGGGGAGUCUGGAAUUCCUGGUGUAGCGGUGGAAUGCGCAGAUAUCAGGAGGAACACCGGUGGCGAAGGCGGGUCUCUGGGCCGUUACUGACGCUGAGGAGCGAAAGCGUGGGGAGCGAACAGG
rnacentral:rRNA from 1 species